AUGGUUAAAGUUACAAUUUACUUUCAUCAUGAUGGUGAGUGGCUAACUAGUCCAGAACCAUACUAUGUAAAGGAAGUGUGACUUAUUGGAAAGGGUAUGAUCCUGACCUUAUAUCUUUUUUAGACUUAGUUAAUGAAUACACAAAUAAGUUAGGCUUUGUGAGUGUGCAAGAACUAAUUGUUCUUGCUCCAAGCGAAUUUUUUUUUUUUUGAAAUAAUAGGUGAUGAGGGGGUUAGGACCUUAGCAUCUUUUGUAUCUAGUGAGUAUAAUCAAUUCGCUUGUUUGCUACGGAUUAAUGUGACUUGUCUGUUAAAGUAACUGAUAUUUUGAUGCAUGAUGGGUCAUGUUUACUUGUACCAAUUAUUAAUGAGGGUACAGAUUGUAGUGAAAGUGAUGAUGACAAUAAUAAUGAAAUGGUAUUUAGUUGUUCGGAUUAUAACACAGAAGAAUUAGAAAAUUUCUUCACUAAAAAAAAAGGAAUAUAACUGAUAGUUUGCAAGAUUAUAAAGAGAUUGUUAAGGGUAUGGCCUUCAAAGACAUAGCUGAAGCAAAACAGUUUUGUAAACUGUAUGCUCUAGCUAAGAAGGUAGAACUUGUUGUGGUGAAGAGUGAUAAAAACAGAUUGAGGUACAAAUGUGCUGCUGAUGGCUGUCCAUUUUUACUAUUUAUUUCUGGGGAUAUGACUACUCCUGGUGUUAGUGUCAAAACACUUGUAGAGCAUAUAGAGUGUGGAACAACAUAUAAUAGCUCUGCAGUAGAUUAUUCCAUAAUAGCCUUGUAUUUUAAGGACAAAUUGCAAAGUGACCCCACGUAGAAGGUCAAACAAAUGAAGGAUGAUUUACAUAGAGUUUUUGAGCUCAAUGUUAGUGAAGCAAAGUGCAAGAGAGCCAAAAAAGAGAUAUUGGAGAGUUUAGAAGGAAGCUUUGUAGACUCUUACAACAAAUUAGAGGGUUAUGCUACUGAAUUGAGAAGUCGUAAUCUAGGGUUUAACAUUGUGAUUGAUUUGUCUAAAGAGACACUAUCUAAUGACAAUAGAGAAUUUUUUAGGAUGUAUAUCUGUUUCAGGCAAUAAAGUUGGGUUUUAAGUCUUGGUUAAUACCACUGAUUGGGUUAGAUGGUACAUUCCUUAAAGGAAAAGCUAAGAGACAAGUAUUGUGUGCUGUUGGUCAAGACAGUAAUAACUCUUUCUACCCUCUAGCUUGGGAUGUGGUAGAUAAAGAGACUAAGAGGACUUGGACAUGGUUUAUGCAACAUUUGCAACAUUCCCUUGAGCUUCAAAAUGGUGAAGGACUGACAUUCAUAUCAGAUAUGCAGAAGGGGCUGCUUGAAGCAGUAAGGACAGUCUUACCUGAAGCAUAUCAAAGAUAUUGUGCAAGACAUAUUGAGGCAAAUUGGUGCAGAAGAUGGGGCAAAGGUGAGCUGAAAAAGUUGUUAUGGUAGGCUGCAUGGUCAUCAUUUACAGAGGAGUUUGAGGACCAACUUGAAGAGAUCAAGGAAGUUAAUGGAGAGACUGGACAAAAUUUAAUAGACAAGUAUCCUCCAAAAGCAUGGUGUAGAGUCUAUUUAGAUACAGUGUGCAAAAAUCAGAUUGUGGACAACAACUUUACUGAAUGAUUCAAUGCCUAGAUACUUGAAGCAAGGUACAAGCCAAUUAUUGAAAUGUUGGAAGACAUUACAGUCAAAAUAAUGGAGAGGUUGGCAGCAAAAGAAGUUGUUGUGAGAAAGUGAAAAGAUGAUGGGUUUAGUCCCAAAAGUGAGAUGUUGUUUAAUGAGUAUUUGAAGAUUUUCAAGGUUUAUAAGGUGAGUGGCAAUGAGAAUAAUGGCUAUGAGGUUACUGAAGGUACAGAUAGACACAUUGUCAACUUAA